GAUUAUCGUGUAAUUACAAAAAUUUUAACCAAGUAAAUAUGUCUCCAAUAAAAUUUAGAGAUGCACAUUACUUCUACCGUAUAACCUUAACAGGGGGGUACCUUGUACAAACCUCACCAACAAUAAAAUGAUGCAUUACAUUUCUCCUCUCCAUUUGUCAUGUGCCUUCCCUGGUAAUUAUAAAAUUUAAAGUUUCAAAUGGUAAUGAUCAAGCACAUCUAAAAACACUUGAAAAGUCUAAAAAAUGGAUGGUGUCUAAAAAAUGGAUGGUCCAGAUAAUGUGUUAGAAGACUAAAAAAUGGAUGGUGUCUAAAAAAUGGAUGGUCCAAAUAAUGUGUUAGAAGAUGAACUAUGUUUAGGACUAGAAAUCCACUUUUUUCAUGUCUAAGAAUCUAAAGGUCGUGAUAUGGAUUUUGAGGGUUUCUUCUCCAGUAGGCUUUUUAGGUGCACCUUACUCUAGUAGGCUUUUUAUGUGCACCUUACUACUAUAGUAUAAGGUUGACCCUUUAUAUAAACUUUUGCAUAUGAAAAAUAAGGUAAUAUUUAGAAUCGUUCAUGAGAUAUGAACUGUUUAGCAUUUAGCCCAUUUGUUAACCC
rnacentral:lncRNA from 1 species